UUAGGGUUAGGGUUAGGGUUGGAGUUAGGGUUAGUGUUGGAGCUAGGGUUAGGGUUGGGCUUGGAGCUAGGAUUUUUCUGAGUGCACUGAACCAACUCCCGAGUCUCUAGGACAUUCCUAAAAAAAUUUGAUUUUUUCCCAUAGGAAUGCAUGGGUUAGGGUUAGGGUUAGGGUUGGAGCUAGGGUUAGGGUUAGGGUUAGGGUUGGAGUUAGGGUUAGUGUUGGAGCUAGGGUUAGGGUUGGGCUUGGAGCUAGGAUUUUUCUGAGUGCACUGAACCAACUCCCGAGUCUCUAGGACAUUCCUAAAAAAAUUUGAUUUUUUCCCAUAGGAAUGCAUAGGUUAGGGUUAGGGUUAGGGUUGGAGCUAGGGUUAGGGUUAGGGUUAGGGUUGGAGUUAGGGUUAGUGUUGGAGCUAGGGUUAGGGUUGGGCUUGGAGCUAGGAUUUUUCUGAGUGCACUGAACCAACUCCCGAGUCUCUAGGACGUUCCUAAAAAAAAUUGAUUUUUUUCCCAUAGGAAUGCAUGGGUUCGGGUUAUGGUUAGGGUUAGGGUUGGAGCUAGGGUUAGGGUUAGGGUUAGGGUUGGAGUUAGGGUUAGUGUUGGAGCUAGGGUUAGGGUUGGGCUUGGAGCUAGGAUUUUUCUGAGUGCACUGAACCAACUCCCGAGUCUCUAGGACAUUCCUAAAAAAAUUUGAUUUUUUCCCAUAGGAAUGCUUGGGUUAGGGUUAGGGUUAGGGUUGGAGCUAGGGUUAGGGUUAGGGUUAGGGUUGGAGUUAGGGUUAGUGUUGGAGCUAGGGUUAGGGUUGGGCUUGGAGCUAGGAUUUUUCUGAGUGCACUGAACCAACUCCC